ACUCCUACGGGAGGCAGCAGUGGGGAAUUUUGGACAAUGGGCGAAAGCCUGAUCCAGCAAUGCCGCGUGAGUGAAGAAGGCCUUCGGGUUGUAAAGCUCUUUUGUCAGGGAAGAAACGGUGAGAGCUAAUAUCUCUUGCUAAUGACGGUACCUGAAGAAUAAGCACCGGCUAACUACGUGCCAGCAGCCGCGGUAAUACGUAGGGUGCAAGCGUUAAUCGGAAUUACUGGGCGUAAAGCGUGCGCAGGCGGUUUUGUAAGUCUGAUGUGAAAUCCCCGGGCUCAACCUGGGAAUUGCAUUGGAGACUGCAAGGCUAGAAUCUGGCAGAGGGGGGUAGAAUUCCACGUGUAGCAGUGAAAUGCGUAGAUAUGUGGAGGAACACCGAUGGCGAAGGCAGCCCCCUGGGUCAAGAUUGACGCUCAUGCACGAAAGCGUGGGGAGCAAACAGGAUUAGAUACCCGGGUAGUCCCA
rnacentral:rRNA from 1 species